UGUUAAAAAUUCCAUUCACUUGUGCUGUUAAAAACUGAUGUGGUUAACAAAAUAAUUAAAUAAUGACAUAUGUUGUGCCAUGUGUAUCUUAUGUUGAUGUACAAUGAUAAAUUUUUAACAGCAAAAAAAUAGAUAAUUUUUUUAACA
rnacentral:pre_miRNA from 1 species